rnacentral:lncRNA from 1 species
UUUUUUUGUAUGUACUAUUUAACGUACGGAUACAAGCCUGACGUGGGAACUGUGGAGCGUGCACAGAGGCAAGUUACAAGUACAUUUGUGAUGUAUAGCUAAAGAAGAAAAUUUAUCCUUCAUGGUAUUAUUUCAGUAUUAUGUCAGUCCUAACAGUGAGAAAUUCAAUUUAGCGUAGUUGUAGUCAAACCAAAGUUUUUACAUGUAUUAAAAAAAAAGUCAAUUUUCAGUCAACAGUGACUGAAAAUUCAUUUUUUCUUUGACAUCAUGUAACAUACUGAUUUUAACAUAUUGUUUGUCCAUUUUUUUUUCAGAACUGGAAGAAAAAAAACACAAAAACUUCCACAUGAAGGAACCACAGCAUCAGUGAAGAUUACAGAGGAGAAUCCAAUCGCAAGAUAUUUUCUAGCCUAAAUUUUUCCAAAAAAAGCACAGAAAGAUCCUCCACUUAUGAAAAGAUACUUCGAUAAUAAAAGGUUUUGUGAUAACAUCACUUCAGAGAUUAAAAGAAAAAUAAGACAUCAUUGUAUUGUUGCAAGUGUUAUUUAAAAGUGUAUUUAUCAAUAAUUCACCCUCAGCAUAUGGUAACUUAUGGGUUAACAUGAUGCAUGCACAUGUGAAUCUUUGCAUGUGUGCUCAAUGAGAAGCCUGACAAAAUGAAAGGCGGCGAGUGGAGCAGGGUUCAGCACGGGCCAGACCUCCAGCCCUAAUCAGGUUACAUGAUUAAUGAGGGGGGGAAAUGGGCUCAUGUUGUAUUAAGAAAAUGUGUGUUUGAACCCAAAGCGGUGGGUAUCAGCAGCCUAAUGCAUCAGCCAUCGACUGGACACCUGAGAUCCACGCUCUGCUGCAGGCGCUGUUAGCUUGCUCCCAGCGGAAGGACACUGCAUCGAUUCACCUCAAACUCCCUCUUAUUCGCUCACUUUCUUCCUUUGCCUCUUUUUUCCCCCUCAUUCUGUCUUUUCAUGCAUUUCUUUUUCACCUUCUUUGUUACAUAUAAUUACUCCUUUUCUCCCUCUCUUUUUUGGUAUCUGUAAUCUGUCUUGCUCUUUUUUUCUAUUUGCUUGGUUUGCAGAAAUCACACAAAAGCAUCAGUGUUUUUCUUUUCAGUGUGAUUUAACUUCAAUACUUGCUAGGGAGCGAUGGCCAGCACUCAACCCUCACAACCCAAACAUCAAACUGUCAUUUAAUCUUUGGUACUCGAGGCUUGUAUGAUAUAUUAGCAAGCACUGAAUGAACGUGCAGACGCAACAGGACUUCUUUCUGGCCUGAUUUCCAUGACAGGACAAGGGUUUAUUCAUUAUUCAUGUCCUCAAGUUUCCACUAAAAAAGUAUUUAAAAACUCAUUUGAAGGUUCUGAUGUCAAAACAAGAUUUCCUUUGUAAGUAGGUGUACAGUUUCAUAUCUGAAGUGAAUUCUGUGUUUUUUGCAGGUCCUUGAAGCUGUCUGUAUUUGGACACUCUCUGGGGAGGUGAGCUGUUUCAUGCACAGUAGCUGCAGCACUCUCACAUUCAGACGCAGGAGCUGAUGACUGAUUAGUCUAGAUUUGAACACAAACAAACCUGAUCCUCGCUCAUUUUCCCCUGAAACAAUAUGCAGUUUUUUAUCUUAUCAACAGCAGUAAUCAUGGCAAAAUAAAUUAGAGAGUUACAUUAAUAUGUUGGAGUUGAUUCCAGCUUGUGCUGCUGAAUUAAAAUCCCCUGAACCUCAAACAGCCUGUUCUGUACAGCACCAAGGAGUGCCUGUCAUUUUAAAACUUCAACCAGUGUAUCAAAACAUCAAAAAUUACUCUUAAGCUAAUAACAAUAAUAAUAAUAAAAAAUCCUACAAACUAUGAUUUCGCAGGUUUCCUCUGUAACUGAAGAAGUUUUGCUGUCUUUAAUUAUUUGUAAAAGUUACAAAAUUAUAUUUGCUGGAGAGAUCCCGACCCCUCAUAUACAUAAAUAUAACAAUAAUAAAGAAAGCAUAGUAUGAUAAGUUUACAUCACAUGAUCUUCUAAGAGGUUAAACAUUAACUAACAACUAUUGUGAUUUCAAUCGUUAAAUUGAUGAAUAAACUUAUCAGAAAAUUAAUUAAAUAUAACUUAAUGGUUCUUAUUUAACCUACAGUUUUAACAUUUAACAUUGUUGUUGUAAUUUGAAAACUUAAUUCAAGUCAUAUUUUUGUCUUGGUUUAAAGACAUCUAGUGUGAAUGUGAGGUGAUUCUUUUAUGUUUUUGAAUUUUUCAAAAAAUUUAUGGGGAUUAUUUUUUGUUGAGAAGAAAGGACAGUGGACAAAAUAAGAGGAUAGAGUCGGGAUUUACAUCUAGUGCAGGGUCACAAGCUGGAGUCCAACCUAGACUGCACACUUCCUGGACCUCAUGUUGUCAUGGACUAAUUAUCAUCAACUUAAUUUUCCAGCGACUGAUUUUGUUGUUUAUUUUUUUGUAGACAGUGUUGACUAAUCAUUGUAUCUCACAUAAGAGGGCUGACAGACUCGGGGGAACUAUGAUCAGGUUGCAGCAACUUUUCACAUCAAACUGGAGAUGUUUUUCUCCUACAAGUUGCAAGUUCUAACCUGUUAAUACGACUUCGUCUGUGUUUGUUUUUGUAGGUUUUUAUGUGAGAUGGGGUUUACAACAUUUCUGGUUUGUUUUGGAGCCUAAAAGAUGUAUUUCUUGUUUUCAGGAAGAAAACAAAAAAACACUUUUGAUCCCAAAAAACUUUUAAAUAUGAGCAAAUUCCCAUAAUCUGGCAUCACUGAAUUUAUUCAUUUACAACUUUUGGUGUUCAGGAAAUAGCUGUUCACCAAGGUGUUUGUUUGAUUCGAUCUUUAGUCAGCAUUUUUUAAGUGCUUGUAUUUGCUGAGUUUCAAAUAAAAAUGAAAAAAAGUUGUACUCAGUUUCUUCCUGCGUUUGAGUUUUAGUUGUUUCGAUUAAGUAGAAAAAUGUUCAUUUGAGUCAAAAUUUAAAAAAAUCUGAUAGUCCUAUAGGGGGUCAAGUAAGCGAGGGAUGAAGGUUAUGGUGAGUGGGAGACCAGAGGGUCACGGGGUCCAUAAAGUAUCCUGCUGGCAGCAUCAGGUGUGUCUCCUCAAAGUGAAAGCUAAUGGUGUUUAGCAGUGUAAACGGUGAAGAAAAUGGAUUGAAAUCAGGACAAAGAUGAAGUUUUUCUCCUUGUGGUGUCGUUUACUCUCUGGCUCAUGUGAAAAUGCCAGAUUAAUGAAUAAUCAGUGUGCAGUCUGUGUUUGCUCUCCUCAACUCAACCAUCAUCUCCAAUGAGAUAGUUUACUCUGAAAAGUUCAGUUACUGACUCUCACAAAGGAGAAGUAUGAGGCGUUCAUUAAAACAAAAUAACCCGCAGCUCUGAGAAUCAAAGCAAUAACGCAGACGGGAUAAAUAAAUAAAUGAAUGAAAUGAUGAUCAUGGAGGAGAGUCAGAGAAACAUUGAAGAGACCGCUAGAAAAACCCUGCAGAUAUGGAAACAAACCUGCAAUAUAUAGACAGACGAUUAGCGUAGCAUGUCAUCAGUAAAGAUGAUUCACUGUCUUAGCGUCUCUCUCUGAUGCACAUAGACAUGAAUGCACACGCACACGCACGAAUACACACAGACUCCCCUUAUGGAUUCUGCAAAUCCAGCAAGGAAAAUAUCUGUGUUUUGAAAGUAUUACCAGUCAUAUUUUCAUAUUUCUUUCCCCCCGCUGUUAUAAUUUUCUCCCCUGUCAAACAAAUCAAAACGCCAAGACCAAACGGAGGCUGAGGGAGCGGCUCACAUUUUCCACUGUCAGGUUCACAAACGCUGCUCUUACAAACAGGCUCUGUGCAGGGAGACAUGACCUGUGAAUAUUUCUGUGUGUGUGUGUGUGUUUGUACGUGUCUGUACGUGUGUGAGUAUAAGAUGGCCAUAUGCUGAAUUUCAGGUCAGUGAAAGGAGUGCAGCUCAGUCUGAUUAAACUGUAUUAUUUUACUAAUGCAGACGUUAAAAAGACAUCAGAAUUUUUUUUUUUUGGAAAUUUUUUCCUUUAAAUUAUUUAAAAUUAAAAAUAAUUCUGUUAGAGAAAAAAAAAGAAAAAACUUAAAGCUCCUGUAAGGUCUUUUUUGACAUUUGUGAAAAUGAAUAAAACUGAUAUUGAUAAAUAUUUAUGAUAAACGAAAGCAAAAAGGACCACCAGCCACAAGAUUGUUUAUUUUUAUGUUGUGAUUUUAACCCCUAAAACUGGUGUGCGGGGGAAGGGGGGAAGGGUUCCUCACAGGAGCUUCAAACUCAAUUCAAAACUCAUUAUUCCAGUCAAUAUAAUUCAAUUGUAUAUGACUACAUUACUUAAGUUUUAUAUAUAGGGAAAUCAAGUAAGUAGUCAGUCUAUCCUCUAAUAUAUGCUUAGUGUAAAACUGUGCGAGUGUAUGUGUUGUUGUUAGAGUUGAAGUUUAGAUUUUAGGACUAGUGAUAGUGUCUGAGCUAAACCAUUUUAGUAGCAAAGUUUUACUCUUUUUAAUGUAACAAGUGCCUGUAAAACAGAUAUAUUUUCAUACUCAUAUCUAAUCUGCAACUCUAAAUAUCAGCAAGUGUAAAAAAAUUGUAGUAAAAACAGGUUUUCAUACUGCUAAGGAUUGUCAUCAUGACAUAAAGAGGCUAAAUUCAAUAUUCUCAACUAUACUGAUGUUCUCCAAAGAAGCAUCCUGCCACACUUAACUGAAACUAAAUAUAUAAAACAAAAAAAGGAAAGUAGGCAUGGUCAACUAGAGUCCCUUUCAUCGGCCAAACAGGAUAGCGAGGCGAUCUGCUGCCUCCUGGUUACAUUUCCCUUUAGAGCAACAUUCAUCAUCAAAGGGUCAAAGGUCAAGAGAUUCAUCAAAAGAGUUUGUGCAGUGUGAGGUACACAGAGGAGCCUCUCAAGAUUAGAGACGGCCUGCUGUGUUUAUGGCAGUCUGCAUUAAGAACUCUCCCAUCAUCACCCGCGCCUGCUCUGUGUGAACUCAUCAACCAAUCCAUUUGGGUGAGACACUUAACCAUCAAACAGAGAGAGAGAAAGACAGAGAGAGAGAGAGAGAGAGAGAGAGAGAGAGAGAGAGAGAGAGAGAGAGCGCACUCUGCACACACUGAAGAAGGAGAGUUUUCAAGAUGUACUUUUGUCAGUUUAGAGAGAUGUUUUCCCGAGAGCUGUUUUCCCCCUUCUGCUUGUCUGUUUCUUUUUUUAGGCUUUAACUCUUUCGAAAGGCUCACUAUGUGAAAGAAAAUAUUUGUUUCAUGAUCAAGAAACACUCAAAAGUACACGAAUUUCUGGACAUCCAAAACUUCCAAAUACUUUAAAUAAGCUACAGUGAAUCUAACAUGACUUUUUAAUGAUUUGUCAGUUGAAAAUAUUUCAAAAUCUUUCAUUAAUGUCUGAACAAGAAAAAAAAAACAGACAAGAGAAAAGAUGCACCGUUUUCAAAAUCCAUGAAAGUGGUUAAAAUGAAGAAAAUAAAAGAAAAAAAAUACUCCAAUCUUGUUUACAGUCAUUAGUACUUCAAAUUUCCUGUGUUUUAUCCAAGCCCUUGCACUGCUAAUCCUCUUCGUCUACAGCUCAGAGACAGUUUGUAGCCGUAUGUUACUCAUCCACAGACUACACUGUACAUGAUGCCUAUUGUGUUUGACAUGCGUUGAUUGCUAGACAACCAGUGUUGAAGAGAAACUCGCCCCGAGCAUCUGAGUGUUCUAUUUAGCACAUUAUUGUGGUUUCCAUAUUAAUUUUAAUAUGAUGUCUGUUUCAGUUUGUGCAACCAAGUCGAGAGUUAGGGUUACCAAAACUAUCCCCAUGAUGAAUGUUGGAAAACUGAAGUUAAGUUCCCAUCUUUCAUUGAUAAAAUGAAGUCUACAUAUCUUCAUGUUCUUGCCUAAGGAUGUUGGCUCCAUUAGCUGAUGUUUGGACACCUGUAGGGGCUCGAGACUCGGCGAGCCGAGCUGUCAUCGAGGGGCUUUGGUAAAUCGAGAGAUUAUCCAAACAGUGGGACACUAGCUAAUAAAAACAUGCCCCCCCCUUACCCACCCAGUUCUCUGCAUUAGUGUUGCAUUAGCGCAGAGGGUGCAGAGAAUGGGCGACACAGGGGUUAGAGUGAUGCAUAGUUUGAAGCUACUAAAGGGAUCUUCCGUAAAUUAUUAGUUACUUAUCACAGGCUUGAUUUGUUACAGGAAUAACUGGAGUCUCUUUCUGUCAGAGGAUGAUAGGGGUGUGCAGCUCUGUGACGCAUGUCUGUAGGACAGAAAUAAUGUAAAAGUAAGUGUUGUUAGGGAAUGAUUUUACAAGAAUAAUUAAGAAUGAUAAGUUGGUCUAACUGGUAAAAAUCUAAUUAAUAAAGACAAAGAAGGAUUUGUGAUGCAGCCAGUUCACAAAUAUUGAAAUCAUCUUACUGUGAUGCAUGAGACAGCUUGGAAAACAUCAAAAUCAUAUUCUAAUCAUGUUUUCUAUUGAACAUACUCCUGUAUAUGUUUAUUUUUAGAAGUUUCACAAAUUAACUGCAACUAAAAAUAUUCAAGUCAAUAAAAAAAAGAAGUAAAACUGCUCAAUAAGGGAUUCAUCCGUAGUUUAGUCAGUCUGGGAAAUUUGAAAUAACCUUUAUCCAUUUGUUCCUUCAAAAGUUAUUACGAUCUCUGAAAAAAUCAAUGACGUCAGGUGACAAAGAAAUAAUUAGGAAGUUGCCUGUUUUACGGCUGUCUGAGCGCGUGUGUGUUUGUGUGUGCAGGGCCAAAGAGCACAGUGAGCACAGUAUUCUCUGUGCAGCCGUACAGCAGCCACACUCAUGGUGUGUAGUCUGGUCAUGGGCAUAAACUUCAAUUUCUGUCCAUGACAUUUAUUAACUCCUACAAAUACAACAGCAGCUUUUUUUUUUCUCAAGGCACGGAAAAUGAAAUCAUUUAAUUUCCUUCACGUAACCUUGUUUUUUUUCAGACUGUCUCAGGGUGAAUUGAGGGAAAGGUUUCAAUGCAUGAAAUCAUUUGUUUACACAGUGAAAUGCCUCCUUUUCCACCAGCAACCAACACGGCGUAGGUGCCUCAACACACUGUAAUCCAUUUAUGCAGUCUGUUAAUAUAUGGCAGAGGGGUUAAGGGUUUAAUUCAAAACAAAUUAGAUCAGUUAAAAUAGAUCUGCUUCAUGUGAUUUACUGCUGCAUGCAGAUUUUUCACUGCCUUUAACUUUAUUUUUCAUAAAAGCUUGUGCAUCAUCUGAAAUAACUAAGAAACUAAUAACUAAGAAAAUGCAUUAGAUCAAUGUAUCACUUGUUUAUUUAAAGAUGUGCAAAUACUCACUGCAUGCAUGGCAUAAACAAGUUUAAUGCCAAUAAACGAGGAAUGGUAACGCCAUUAGGAUGUAAUUGCAGGUCUCUGAGGUGGUCAGGACACUGCUGGUAAUAACAGUCAGAGAGAGCGAAUCUGCCUUUUAUUAAAAACUGCUUUGGUGAUGGGGAGUAAAUUCAUUAUCUGACUCUAUUAGCUCAGCAAAGCGGGAAUAAAGUGGAAGAGAGGUACUGCAAAACGCCUCAGGCUAAUGUAGACUGUGUGUUUGUGUGUGUGUUCAUCUCAAUUCAUACAUAAUCAUGUCUUUAGAUUUACCUCAGCAGCUUAAACCAGAUUUAGACUUCCAUAAAAAAAAACAUACUAUCAUGCAUGAGCUAAAUACAGGAGGUAUAAGGUGUAAAAAAAUGUCUCUUAUGUUCAUCAGGUCGUGUGUUUUUAGCCAUAAAUAUAACAAGAAAAAUUAAAAUGAAAAAUGAAAAAAACAAGCAUCCCUGGCUUGAGUCACACUAAUGCACUAUGUUCAAACAUACACACAUUGAAGUACAGUAUACUCAGAGAUCAUUAAUCAUAAGUACAUACACGAUCAUUCAUAUCAGAGGAAACAGGCAAUCUGCCGCUCAUCUCCUCUAUCCUCCCAUCCUGCCUGGAUUUACAACAGAGUCCAUUUCAGCUCAUACACAGCCCCUCAUCUCCCUCCACUUUACUCAAGUCUCUGCCUCCACCAGCCUGUUUCUCCUUAUAUCUCAAAAUAAUCCCCCCAAAAAGCCUCUGCGGGUCUGUUUCCCUGCUCUUUUAGAGCAGAAACACAAUGGCUGCUAAGCUACAAGUACAAGCCAGCAGAGGAGAUCAGUCAGUUUGAUGAAUGCAGUCACAUCUGUUGAAGAUUUCCUCUGCAGAUAAAGUGAACACUUACUGGUUUUUAGGGGUUUUCUUUUCCCAUUAUUCCCACUGCAGCGAGAUUAAUCUAAAUCUUUUUUUUUUUUUUUUUUUUUUAACAGAGGGUUUCGGACAGUUAUGUUUGAGAAUGAAAAAAAAAGACCUUCAAGAAUAUCGACAAAGAUUUCUGACACCUAAAGACCAGGUUAGUGUUGUUUCAUCUUCUUUCACAUCUUUUCUCUGAUCUUAAAAAUAUGUUAGUGAUGACACUUGUGAAUAAUCUUUGGAUUGUAUUUACAUUAACUGGCACUAAAGCACCGGACAAUUCCUAUCUCUGAAAGCCAUGCCAGUCUCAACAGGAAUAAGGCAUUAGCAUGUUUAAUUUAACCUCAUCAGCUUGUUUCUUCUUUGACACUUUUCCUUCUUUUCCCUUCAGUGUGCUGCUGCGUGAAGACUAGAGGUGAAUAAUUUGUUGUGUGGUGGUGACAGUGGAGGUAGGAACCCACAGGGGUUUAAAGAGAGGACCAUGUGGGCCUAUCAGGUUACAGUAUUGACCCGAGGUCUGGUUUGCGUUGGUAAAAAAAAGAGCAAGGAAUGGGAGG